rnacentral:rRNA from 1 species
UACGUAGGCAGCGAGCGUUGUUCGGAAUUACUGGGCGUAAAGAGUGUGUAGGCGGUGCUCCCAGUCUGUUGUGAAAUCUCCCGGCUUAACUGGGAGGGUGCAGCGGAAACUAGAGUGCUAGAGGGUGGGAGAGGUAAGCGGAAUUCCUGGUGUAGCGGUGAAAUGCGUAGAUAUCGGGAGGAACACCUGUGGCGAAAGCGGCUCACUGGACCAUAACUGACGCUGAUGCACGAAAGCUGGGGGAGCAACAGG